CAUCACCUGGUAGGUUCUUGUGGUUGGCAUGGUAAUGCCUGUAAAUAAAUUUGGAUCAUCACAGGUCACCUGUGACCAGUGACCAGUAAGUGCUGUCUGAUACCGGACACACUUGUGAGUCAGGUCAGCUGAUCAGACAUAGACAACCAAUUCUCUUGCUCCAUUUUACUGUAGAUUGCUGAUACUCUCCCUCUGACCAUGGCAGUGGUGCAAAGGGAGACUUCCCUGGGAACCACACAUCAAGCCAGAGACUCCCUCAGCUGCAGAACAGACCUCUGCUACUCCUACACCCUGGAUUACCAGAUGAGAACACCACCUGUUGAUGGAGACAAGACAUUACCUACCCCAACUACAACCUUCAGAAUUCCUUGUAUUGUCACAAGCUCCAUGACUGGAACUGCAUUCCCAGAUAAGGACACCAACUAUUGAUGGGGACAAGUCAUUAACAGUCCCCAACCUUCAGAAUUCCUGGUAUUGCCACAAGCUCCAUGCCUGGAACAGAGAAUGACAACCUGCAUGAGAUGGCAGCAAAUCUGUCAAUGCCUCUGGAUGCCUAUGAGUGCAUGAAAGAAAACCAAGACCCAUCUCUCCUCCCUUUAGCACACCCCGACAUCCAGCAUCCCUUGCACUUCACUGAUGCUGGGAGCGUAGGGCAGAAGCUUGCUUCUGACAAUGCCACCAGGGAAAGCAGCAGUCAUGGUCAGGAUGAGCCUGGGACAUGCACAGUGUGUUGGCCUCCAGCAUAGACUUGCAGACAUGACUAUGCUGAUGGCAGAAGUUCACAUUCCCAACUGCUUAACUCCCUCUCUGAACUAAACCAAUUCCAGGUUCCCACAGCCACCUAAUGCAAAGACUCCAUAGUCUUCAGGAGCAAUCAGGCCCAGUAAAGAUAAGGUGUCAUCAGCACACCCUUAAACCUGUUGAGGGUGAAGGAAGAGAGACACUCUAAUCUGCUUCAUGGAGAAUCUCUAGCCAGAAUCCAGUAUCAGGACCUUGUGGAAGGAGAGAAGCUGUGGCUAGUGCUGUGGCCAGAAGGAGAUAUUGACAACACAGACAAGCAAAUGGAGGGAAAGCUCAGAAGAUCACACUCUGUAGGCUCAGUAGACCUAGGGUUCAUGGGCAAGUUGAGACCAAAAAGAGCUAGAGAAAUCAACUCCAUGAAAGCUGAAGGAUCUGAAGCCAUCAAGUCAGUCAUGGCAGAAGAGAAGCCCACUGUCCUCCACAACAAGAGGAAGUGGAAUCCACUUGAGCAUAGCCAUCAUAGCUUUAAAAAGCCUCAAACACACCUCGGCUUGCACAUGCUGGUGUCUGUGAAGGUCUGUCACUCACUGUGGAAGAAGGGAGAGAAGAAAACUGGCAUCUCUUGAACCUUCAACUCUUUGUGCUACUCUGUGCUCUAAUAGUAUCAGAGUUUGUUACACUUUGGCCUCUGAGACAUUUGUCAUUAUCUUUUUCCAGGGUUACAUAUACUAAACAAAAUAAUUUAUUUGUUCACUCACUUUUAGAUUCUUGAGACAGGGACCCUCUCCAUAGCCCAGCAUGUCCUAGAACUGACUACAUCGAACACGCAACAUUGAACUCAUGAAGAUCUGCCUGCCUCCCCCUCUGCCUCCACCUCCAUCUCAGCCUCUGCCUCCCCUUCUGUCUCCACUUCUGCCUCCUCCUCCUCUGCUGCCUCAAGAGUGCUGAGACUAAAGGAAUGCUCCAAGAAGCCAGGUGGAAUCCAGAUUCUUUCUGUACAUGUGAAUAACAUUUCCAUGCAUGUCUUGAUGAAGAGGCCAUGUGUACUCCAGGGUGCAUUUUUGGUACAUACCUAAAAUCCAAAGAGACUAAACCACAUGUGUUUACAACUGCAACUUAACUCGGAUUAAUCUUUUCCUGACAAUGUGCCUUGUUUCAGUUGUAGGCUGUACUUGCUACAAUACCUGUGAAGCACUGACCUCUAAUGAGGUGUGCUCAUGCUAUCCUGGGUAUUUUCUGCUUUUGUGGUAAAGUUAUGAUUGCUUUUCUACUUCUAGGAAGUGGGGCAUCUGAAUUUUACUGAGGAAUUGUAUUCACCCUUUUCAUAGAGUUUCAUGGUUGUAAAUGAAUUUUUAAACAGUCUUAAAUAAAUAAAAAACACAAAGCCAAA